AGCAGAGUGGCGCAGUGGAAGCGUGCUGCGAGCCUCAUAACCUACGAUGGUCCGAGGUAUCAAAACCUCGCUCGUGCCC